UGAGGAAUAUUGGACAAUGGGCGAAAGCCUGAUCCAGCAAUGCCGCGUGUGUGAAGAAGGCCUUCGGGUUGUAAAGCACUUUCAGUAGGGAAAAAGGAUUAACGGUUAAUACCCGUUGAUAUUGAUAUUACCUACAGAAGAAGCACCGGCUAACUCUGUGCCAGCAGCCGCGGUAAUACAGAGGGUGCAAGCGUUAAUCGGAAUUACUGGGCGUAAAGCGUACGUAGGCGGUUACUUAAGUCGGAUGUGAAAGCCCCGGGCUCAACCUGGGAACUGCACUCGAUACUGGGUAACUAGAGUAUGGUAGAGGAAAGUGGAAUUUCCGGUGUAGCGGUGAAAUGCGUAGAUAUCGGAAGGAACACCAGUGGCGAAGGCGGCUUUCUGGACCAAUACUGACGCUGAGGUACGAAAGCGUGGGGAGCAAACAGG
rnacentral:rRNA from 1 species